UACGUAGGGUGCAGGCGUUAAUCGGAAUUACUGGGCUUAAAGCGUGCGCAGGCGGUUUCUUAAGUCAGAUGUGAAAGCCCCGGGCUUAACCUGGGAACUGCGUUUGAAACUGGGAGACUUGAGUGUGGCAGAGGGGGGUGGAAUUCCACGUGUAGCAGUGAAAUGCGUAGAUAUGUGGAGGAACACCGAUGGCGAAGGCAGCCCCCUGGGUUAACACUGACGCUCAUGCACGAAAGCGUGGGGAGCAAACAGG
rnacentral:rRNA from 1 species